rnacentral:rRNA from 1 species
AAUAGAUACCCGGGUAGUCCACGCCGUAAACGAUGUCGACUUGGAGGUUGUUCCCUUGAGGAGUGGCUUCCGGAGCUAACGCGUUAAGUCGACCGUCUGGGGAGUACGGCCGCAAGGUUAAAACUCAAAAUGAAUUGACGGGGGCCCGCACAAGCGGUGGAGCAUGUGGUUUAAUUCGAUGCAACGCGAAGAACCUUACCUACUCUUGACAUCCAGAGAACUUAGCAGAGAUGCUUUGGUGCCUUCGGGAACUCUGAGACAGGUGCUGCAUGGCUGUCGUCAGCUCGUGUCGUGAAAUGUUGGGUUAAGUCCCGCAACGAGCGCAACCCUUAUCCUUUGUUGCCAGCGGUUCGGCCGGGAACUCAAAGGAGACUGCCAGUGAUAAACUGGAGGAAGGUGGGGAUGACGUCAAGUCAUCAUGGCCCUUACGAGUAGGGCUACACACGUGCUACAAUGGCGUAUACAAAGAGAAGCGACCUCGCGAGAGCAAGCGGACCUCAUAAAGUACGUCGUAGUCCGGAUUGGAGU